rnacentral:lncRNA from 1 species
ACUCACAUGUACGCUUGAACUGUAAAUGGAAUGCCGCCGUCCUGGAAAGAGAAAACUCCACUCAGGAAAUUGAGGCAAGUUGUCUGCUCCUGUCCCUCCCCCCCNNNNNNNNNNNNNNNNNNNNNNNNNNNNNNNNCCCCCCCCCCCCCCCCCCCCCCCCGUCACACUCUAGAGUCCUGAACUUCGGCCCUUCCGCUGGUGCAGCCUCUCUCACGAGCCCAUGGCCUAGAGGCCUGGCCUCCUUGUGCUGGUUGUUCUCAUGCUGCCAUUUCAGCCCCGCUGGGUCUCUGGUGGCUCUUCCUGCCUCAGGACACAGGGCAGGUGCACACAUGGCUGCCAGAAGGGCAGACAAACCUUCCAGGUCAGGAGAUUAACUGGAAUGGCCCGUGUGAUGUGAAUUCAUCUAGGGGCACAAGAGAAUCUCUUUUCAUGGAGAUGGCAACAGCACAUAAGUUCCUAAGGUGAGUCCUCAGAACUAUCAUGUUGUCAUUCCAUUCACAUUCCAUUGGCCAAAUCAUGUCUCCUCCUUAAGCCCAAAGUUAAGGGCUGGGGAAGUACCCAAUGGCCACAGUUCAAGGAGGAGAAUUAUGAAGUUACAUAGCAAAGAACAUGGUUCAGGGAAGGGUAAAAUUGACAUUUCCAGAUUUGAUCUGCCAUAGUCAUGUGAUGAGCCAGGGAGGUCUCACCCAAUUUUGUCCAGUUCCACGGUCUGUGUUUCUUCCUCUGCUCCAAAUGCUUUAUGUACAAUCAAAGACGGUUUUUUAAUCCAUGUGAUUCCUAGUCUCCAGGGCGGAUGUUAUGUUUCCAUCCUUUAAAAAAUCUGAUAUUCUGCUUUUAAAAAUUUUGCUAUUUAUCUCAUUGAAUGAUUGUCAUUUUUGUGGUACUGGACUGCAAUCAAUCCACAUGAUUUGGCUCUGUCCUAGAGUUGGAGGUGUAGUCUCAUGGAGGUUCAAAUAAUCUGUUAGUCUGCACAUAUUUUUGCUUUAAUCAUGGACCGUCUCAGUUACCAAGGGCCCAAGAUGUGGCUGCCAAUGGCUGAAGCACAAGAGGGUGGAAUUUUCAGUCCCAGGACUCUUGAGUUUGGUUUUCAACUUUGACUCAGGUUCCUUGCCGCUGUCAGAACCUACUAUGGCCUUUACAAGUUGUUGACUUAAAAAAUACAUACAGCAAAUUCUUUUUGAGGUGUAAUUCUGUGAAUUUGACAGAGGUACAUAGUCAUGUAACUGCCAGCACAAUCACGAUAUAUCCAUCACCCGCAGAAUUCCCUUAUGCUGCUCCUUGGUAGUUCAUCUUUCCCAAGUCCUGUCUUUUCUAGAAUGUCAUAUAAAUGGAAUCAUACAGUAUGGCCUUUGGAGUCUGGCUUCUUUUAGUUAGCAUGAUGCCUCUGAGUCUCACCCACGCUCUUGUGCGAAUCCUAAUUUGUUCCUUCUUGUUUCUGAGUAGGACUCCAUUGUAUGGAUGCACAGCACUUUGUUUAUCCCAUGGUUGAGGGAUAUUUGGCAAUUUGUUUCCAGUUUUUGAUAGUUAUGAAAAAGCCACUAUAAAUAUUGGCAUAUAGAUUCUGAUGUGAAUGUAGGUUUUCAUUUCAUUUGGAUACUUGUGGAAUUGCUGGAUUGUAUUUAAUAUUCUGUCUCCCUAUUGGAAUAUUGGAAUCCAAACCAACCAACAAGACAAAUUAUUUUCCAAAGUGGCGGCACCAUCUUGGAUUCUUAUCAAAAGUCUGUAAGGGUCCUAUUGUACCUUUUUAAUUUCCUGAUUUUCCUCCUUGCCACUUACAUGAAUUUGCAAACCCAGACCCUCUCUAUUUCCUCAAAUUGAUUUCUUUGCCUUCCCUGGUGUUAUAAAAGAGACUGUUGCCUGGGUAAGAUCUAUUUUGGAAUAAAGUACAUCACAAUUCUCCA